AAAAUAUUUAGAAAAAUCUAUUUUUCAUAUUUUUCGCUAUUACAGGUGUUGCAUGGUUGUCGUCAGCUCUUGUUGUAAAAUGUUCGAUUAAUUUCGUGAACGAGCGUAACUUAUUUUUCUAGUUAGUAAA
rnacentral:rRNA from 11 species